rnacentral:rRNA from 1 species
CCUACGGGUGGCAGCAGUAGGGAAUCUUGGACAAUGGGCGAAAGCCUGAUCCAGCCAUGCCGCGUGAGUGAAGAAGGCCUUAGGGUUGUAAAGCUCUUUUGGCGGGGACGAUAAUGACGGUACCCGCAGAAUAAGCCCCGGCUAACUUCGUGCCAGCAGCCGCGGUAAUACGAAGGGGGCUAGCGUUGUUCGGAAUUACUGGGCGUAAAGCGCACGCAGGCGGAUCGAUAAGUCGGGGGUGAAAUCCCGGGGCUCAACCUCGGAAUUGCCUUCGAUACUGUCGAUCUCGAGUCCGGGAGAGGUGAGUGGAAUUCCUAGUGUAGAGGUGAAAUUCGUAGAUAUUAGGAAGAACACCAGUGGCGAAGGCGGCUCACUGGCCCGGUACUGACGCUCAGGUGCGAAAGCGUGGGGAGCAAACAGGAUUAGAUACCCUGGUAGUC